GAAUAUUGGUCAAUGGGCGGAAGCCUGAACCAGCCAUGCCGCGUGCAGGAUGACUGCCCUAUGGGUUGUAAACUGCUUUUGUCCAGGAAUAACCCCAGGUACGUGUACCUGGCUGAAUGUACUGGAAGAAUAAGGAUCGGCUAACUCCGUGCCAGCAGCCGCGGUAAUACGGAGGAUCCGAGCGUUAUCCGGAUUUAUUGGGUUUAAAGGGUGCGUAGGCGGCCCAUUAAGUCAGGGGUGAAAUACGGUGGCUCAACCAUCGCAGUGCCUUUGAUACUGAUGGGCUUGAAUCCAUUUGAAGUGGGCGGAAUAAGACAAGUAGCGGUGAAAUGCAUAGAUAUGUCUUAGAACUCCGAUUGCGAAGGCAGCUCACUAAGCUGGUAUUGACGCUGAUGCACGAAAGCGUGGGGAUCGAACAGG
rnacentral:rRNA from 1 species